rnacentral:tRNA from 1 species
GGAGUGUUGGUAGAGUGGCUGAAUACAUCUGCCUACUAAGCAGACAAUCACGUAAGUGGUUCAAAGGUUCAAAUCCUUUACACUCCGCCA